GACGAACGCUGGCGGCGUGCUUAACACAUGCAAGUCGAACGGGAGGAAAAGAGAAGCUUGCUUCUUUUUGAAUCUAGUGGCAAACGGGUGAGUAACACGUAAACAACCUGCCUUCAGGAUGGGGACAACAGACGGAAACGACUGCUAAUACCGAAUGUGUUCCGGAGACCGCAUGAUUUCCGGAAGAAAGGAUGGCCUCUACCUGUAAGCUAUCGCCUGAAGAGGGGUUUGCGUCUGAUUAGCUGGUUGGAGGGGUAACGGGCCCACCAAGGCGACGAUCAGUAGCCGGUCUGAGAGGAUGAACGGCCACACUGGAACUGAGACACGGUCCAGACUCCUACGGGAGGCAGCAGUGGGGGAAUCUUCCGCAAUGGGCGAAAGCCUGACGGAGCAACGCCGCGUGAGUGAUGACGGCCUUCGGGUUGUAAACGUACUGUGAUC
rnacentral:rRNA from 1 species